rnacentral:lncRNA from 1 species
UCUCUGUGCGCGUGUGCGUGAGUGUGCGGGCCUCCUUGGCCACGCCGCCCCAGCGCCUGCCUGCUGUCCACCUCUGCCUGGGGGCGCCUGGGCGCCGGCCGCGUGCUUGAGGCCCCGCCCUCCCCUCGCCUAGUCUGGA